ensembl:snRNA U6 U6 spliceosomal RNA
AUGCUCGCUUUGGUAGCACAUAUACUAAAAUUGAAACGAUACAGAGAAGAUUAGCAUGCCCCCGCACAAGAAUGACACGCAAAUCCGUGAAGUAUUCCAUAUUUAA